GUUGGACAUAGCAUUCAGACUGAGCUCUGACUCUCCAGAUGGUAUUACCUUUGUGCUAAUAAGAAGAGGAAAGAAGAAAAAGAGAAAAUCCCCAAUAAGAUUGGAAUUAAGUGCUCCGUGCCCAGGCUGUUGGCUUUCUACUGACUGCAGGGUUGAC